rnacentral:rRNA from 1 species
UACGGAGGGUGCAAGCGUUGUUCGGAAUUACUGGGCGUAAAGCGCGUGUAGGCGGCGUCCUAAGUCCGAUGUGAAAGCCCGGGGCUUACCCCCGGAAGUGCAUCGGAUACUGGGAGGCUAGAGUACCGGAGAGGAGGGUGGAAUUCCUGGUGUAGCGGUGAAAUGCGUAGAUAUCAGGAGGAACACCGGUGGCGAAGGCGGCCCUCUGGACGGAUACUGACGCUGAGACGCGAAAGCGUGGGGAGCAAACAGG